GCGUCCUACGGGACGCAGCAGUAGGGAAUUUUGCGCAAUGGGCGAAAGCCUGACGCAGCAACGCCGCGUGAUUGAUUAAGCCCUUCGGGGUGUAAAGAUCUGUCAGUGGGGACGAAACUUGACGGUACCCACAGAGGAAGCACCGGCUAACUCCGUGCCAGCAGCCGCGGUAAUACGGAGGAUGCGAGCGUUAUCCGGAUUUAUUGGGUUUAAAGGGUGCGUAGGCGGGAUGCCAAGUCAGCGGUCAAAUACGGGGGCUCAACCUGCGUCCGCCGUUGAAACUGGCGUUCUUGAGUGGGCGAGAA
rnacentral:rRNA from 1 species